AGAGCCAGGAUAUUACAGAGAGAAUGAGUUUGGAAUAAGGAUUGAGGAUGUAGCAGUUGUGGUAGCUGUUGAAACAAAGCAUGGUGAGGGGUACCUGACCUUUGACACCGUGUCACUGGUGCCUUACGACAGGAAGCUGAUUGACACUUCCCUUCUGAGCCCAGAGCAGCUGAAAUGGCUGGACGACCACUACAAGAAGAUCCGUAGCGUGGUGGGACCCGAGCUGGAGCAGCAGGGCCUGCUGGAGGAGAAGGCGUGGCUCCUGAGGAACACAGAGCCCUUUCUGUCCGACGGUGCAGGUGCUGGGCUCUCGCUCCAGGCUGCACCAGCGCUGCUCUCCAGUGCCUUACUCCUGCUGCACCUCCUCUAAGGCCGCUGCCCCUCCCCGUGUGUGUGUGUGUGUGUGGGGAAUGAUGGGAGGCACUCACUGAUCACGCAUCACAGACGGGUACAGAGAUAGCUCACACCGUCAUUCGUAUGACUUUCCUUUGUGAAUGUGGUUUUGGCUUUUUUUUUGCGUAAUUGACUCCCAU